rnacentral:tRNA from 2 species
GGAGAGGUGACAGAGUGGCCGAUUGUGCCGGUCUCGAAAACCGGUGUGCCUUUACGGGUACCGCGAGUUCGAAUCUCGCCCUCUCCG